CCACGCACUCCAGCCUGGGCGACAGAUCGAGACUCCGUCUCCCCACCUCCCCAAAAAAGAGAAAAAAAAAAAAACACUGAGUGUUGAGCUCCGGCGUUGCUUGGUUUCAAAACCCAUUCCUGUAACCUCGUUUAUUUAUUCACAGCCUCGUUUUCUUAAACUUAACAGCAUGCUACUUCCCCAGGUUUAACCACCAUUUGUUUUAUUCAUUUAUUUACCCAAUAGGUAGAUAUUGAGUCCUUACUAUGUCAGCUAAUAAAACCCACCACGUGCUAUGCAGUAGAUUAAAAAACGAGGAUGUACUGGCAAAUAAGGGCAGACAGGAUCUAUUCUAGAUCCAGGAGCCCUCUAGGCCACGCUAUUCCGAAACACACACGAAAACUGCUCUGAACGCAUACCACCAGUAAAACGAUUCCAUGGCCAUCGGUAACAAGGAGUCGAGAUCAGGAGGUCGCUGGCCGCGCAGAUGCGUCGCUCACCACCGGCCGGCCGCCAGACCCUCGGCUUCCGAUCCAGAAACCGUAUUUUGUUCCUACACCCAGACCGCAAGAAGCCUCAGCCCUCGGGGACAGACCAAAGGCCAGGGUUGUACCUGGCUCAGAACCAGGCUCCAAGCGGCACGGGACGCUCCUUCUGCACUCUGAUCGCGUGAGUGCAAUUGGAGAUCCUGGACUCAAGAUGUUUUCAGUAGGAACGAUUCCAGCCAGCGCUAACACCGGCCGGUCUGCAGCGUGGACGCCAAAACAGGCACCACGUGGUUCUGGCGCCGGGGCGGGGCCAGAGACGCCGGAAGUGGCCGCGCGCUCCACGGGCCCACCGGGCGGCGCGCUUUCAGACCAUGGCGACCCAGACGAAGCGCCCACGGGUGAGUGGCGGGUGCGGGGUCCAGCCUUCUCCUUCGCGCCUCACCCCUCCUCCGCCCGCAGGGCCAUGCGCCUGCGCCCCCUCCGCUCCCUCCCGCGGGUCCCGCGCCCCUCUCCGCUCGUCCCCACCUCCACCCAAAGCCCGUUCUGCGCGCGCGCGUCGCGGUCUCCUGCCGUUCCCAGCGGGCUCUCUGGGGCCGGGCCUGGUCACUGCGCGCACUUAUCUCAGGUGGCGGGGCCUGUGGACGGCGGCGACCCGGAUCCUGUGGUCGGUUUCCUGAACUGGUGCCGGCGGGUGGGGCUGGAGCUGAGUCCCAAGGUGGCGGUCAGCCGGCAGGGCACGGUGGCCGGCUACGGCAUGGUGGCCCGGGAGAGCGUGCAGGCCGGAGAGCUGCUGUUCGUGGUACCGCGGGCCGCGCUCCUGUCGCAGUACACCUGCUCCAUUGGCGGCCUGCUGGAGCGAGAGCGAGGCGCGCUGCAGAGCCAGUCGGGCUGGGUGCCACUGCUGCUGGCGCUCCUCCACGAGCUGCAGGCCCCGGCCUCACGCUGGAGGCCGUACUUUGCGCUCUGGCCCGAGCUGGGCCGCUUGGAGCACCCGAUGUUCUGGCCAGAGGAGCAGCGCCGGUGCCUGCUGCAGGGCACAGGCGUACCUGAGGCCGUGGAGAAGGAUUUGGCCAACAUCCGCAGCGAGUACCACUCCAUCGUGCUGCCCUUCAUGGAAGCCCACCCCGAUCUCUUCAGCCUCAGGGUUCGCUCCCUAGAACUCUACCAUCAGCUCGUGGCCCUUGUGAUGGCCUAUAGCUUUCAGGAACCACUGGAAGAGGAGGAGGAUGAAAAGGAGCCCAACUCCCCAGUGAUGGUGCCUGCUGCAGACAUACUAAACCACUUAGCCAAUCACAAUGCCAAUUUAGAAUAUUCUGCGGGAUGAGGACAUUCACAGGCCAGAGGUCUAAGAUGAUCCUAGAACUGGGUAUAAAGCUGUGUUUUUACCAGCUCUGUUCUAUACGGAAAGUUGCCUGAAAAGAUGACACAUUUAUAGGAUCGAAAAUUAGUUAAGUAUGGUUAUUUCUUAAUCCUUGCCUCCAUUUUCCUUUCCCACUUUGAUAUGCGAAAGUUUCAUUCCCCCGCCCCACCCCGCGCCCAGAAGGAGUCUCGCUGUGUCACCCAGGCUGGAGUGCAGUGGCGUGAUCUCAGCUCACUACAACUUCCGCCUCCCGGGUUCAAGCAAUUCUCCCUGCUUCAACCUCCCAAGUAGCUGGGAUUACAGGCUCCCGCCACCAUGCCCGGCUAAUUUUUGUAUUUUUUAGUAGUGACAGUGUUUCGCCAUGUUGGCCAGGCUGGUCUUGGAACUCCUGACCUCAGGUGAUCCACCCACCUUGGCCUCCCAAAGUGCUGGGAUUACAGGUGUGAGCCACCGCACCCGGCCAAAAAUUUCAUUUUUAAAGCUAGCAACUUUUUAAGUGCUGAAGAGGACUGUGCAGAAAUCCACCCACUUAAACAUGAAGCUGGCCUUUGAAAGUUAGCCUAACCCUUUUUUGUUUCACAGUUCAGGGUCUAACAGGAACUAAAGGUAGAACUUUGGUAGCUAACAGCAUCAGUUCCAUGGCUGAACUACACCUGCUAAAGGCUCUUAAGUGGAAGUAAUCUUCAUGGGGCUGGCCCGUGAAAGGCAUGGCCCCAGCUUCUCCCUUUCACCUCAGAAUUGUCUUCGGAUGGUAGCCACUCAGCCCAUUCCUAAAGGCCAUGAGAUUUUCAACACUUAUGGGCAAAUGGCUAACUGGCAACUGAUUCAUAUGUACGGUUUUGUUGAACCAUAUCCUGACAACACAGAUGACACAGCUGACAUUCAGAUGGUGACAGUUCGUGAGGCAGCAUUACAGGGAACAAAAACUGAAGCUGAAAGGCUCCUAGCGUAUGAGCGCUGGGAUUUCCUAUGCAAACUGGAGAUGGUAGGGGAAGAAGGCGCCUUUGUGAUAGGGAGGGAGGAGGUGCUAACUGAAGAGGAGCUGAUCACCACACUAAAGGUACUGUGCAUGCCUGCUGAGGAGUUCAGAGAGCUUAAAGACCAGGAUGGAGGGGGAGAUAAUAAAAGGGAAGAGGGCAGCCUGACGAUCACAAAUAUUCCCAAGCUCAAAGCAUCGUGGAGACAGCUGCUACAAAACAGUGUUCUAUUGACCUUACAGACCUAUGCCACAGACUUAAAAACUGACCAAGAUUUACUCAGUAAUAAGGAAGUCUAUGCCCAACUCAGCUGGAGGGAACAGCAAGCCUUACAGGUUCGCUAUGGUCAGAAGAUGAUCUUACAUCAGUUGUUGGAACUGACACAAGUUGGCAGUUUCCCUGUUCCCUGAAGGAACAGCAAUAAGAACUUUUAUUCUAAGCUAGUACUCAUUGAUGUUUGAAAAAGGGAAAAUUUGGAUCUUUUUCUUAUUAAACACCAAGAGGAAAAGUAGCAAACGUGGUGUGCUAGGAUAAACUGAGGUAAGGGUGAUGUGUUUUAGGAUUGAGAACAGCAGACUUGGGAAUCACUGCUAAUUGUUAAAGCAUGUUACAGCUAUUUUGUUCUGUUUUAACCAAAGCCAGUGGAAAUACGGUAGUAAUAGGUCAUCCAGUUGUGUUUCAGCAUUUCAUAAUAGACUUUGGAGGUAGACCCUGGUUUAAAUCUAAGUCUAGUUUGAGGAAAUCACUUAACCUUUAUUUAAAAGACUGGAUUUAAUAAGCUGUGUAACUGGCACUCAAUGAUCAGUUACCCGAAGUUCACUCUAGAUGGCACAAACCACCCCUCAGGGAAUAAAUCCUAAGACAUCA